rnacentral:tmRNA from 1 species
GGGGGCGUAAGGUUUCGACGGGGGUCAUGAGGCUCAGAUGGCAUGCCGUGGCUCCAUCACCACGUUAAAAGAUGGAAAAUUCACAAACGCCAAUAACGAACUGGCACUGGCCGCUUAACUAAAAGCGGCGCGUCUUUCCGGGAAUGCCCGCGGCCCGGACGGACGAAAGCAGCGGGAUAAGCUUCCGGAUGGCUCUCUGCCGGAAGAUGAAAACCAAACGGGGGAUAGGCCCACGGCCGGGCGCGGUUGCCCGCAUGGUCCGGGCCGAAAUUUAAAUAGGCAGCCUAAGCAUGUAGAAGUCUGUGUGUAGUGCUUUCGGACGCGGGUUCGAUUCCCGCCGCCUCCACCA